GACGUAGGGCGCAAGCGUUGUCCGGAUUUAUUGGGCGUAAAGAGCUCGUAGGCGGCUCGUUGCGUCGGCUGUGAAAACCCGCAGCUCAACUGUGGGCUUGCAGCCGAUACGGGCGGGCUGGAGUUCGGUAGGGGAGACUGGAAUUCCUGGUGUAGGCGGUGAAAUGCGCAGAUAUCAGGAGGAACACCGGUGGCGAAGGCGGGUCUCUGGGCCGAUACUGACGCUGAGGAGCGAAAGCGUGGGGAGCGAACAGG
rnacentral:rRNA from 1 species